UAACCACAACGGGGUUGAGAAGCGGAAAAGUUUAUUUGAAGCUUCAAAAUGGUACAGGGAGAUAUUCACCUCAAAUCCUGUACACAGAGCAGGAAGUUACACAGACUUUUAUACAUCCUUUCUUCAGCAUACUUAUCCAGUAGCAAGCUGCCCUAAGUAUCCAUACAGCCAGCCAAUCC